rnacentral:rRNA from 1 species
GUCUAUGGCUAUGCCACCCUGAAUGUGCCUGAUCUCAUCUAAUCUUGGAAUCUAAGCAGGGUCGGGCCUGGUUAGUACUUGGAUGGGAGACCACCUUGGAAUACCAGGUGCUGUGUAGG